GUCACUUUGCCGGAGUGGUUAACGGGAUCGCCUGCUAUGACCUCGAGUCCUGCCUUAGCGGUUGCUCUUUGAGCGCGUGUGUUCGAAUCGCACAGGUGACG
rnacentral:tRNA from 1 species